rnacentral:other from 2 species
AUAUUCCUGCCCUGUGCGUUACGGCGCUUCAUUGUUUUGAACCAAUGUUUGUUUCCAGGGAGCUCUACAUUGCCAGGCGGCUGACAGGCCCUCGAAAAGGGAAGUCAAAAACCGGGCUGCGGGCACCCACCUGCUAAAGCAGGUUCAGAAACAUGCACGUCGGACGGCAAGGGCGGGUUUUUU